GCUCCUCCAAUCCCACCCGGCUCUGUCAAGCAUAUAGUAGAGGACGUUCCUCCAUUGCUUCCCUGCUCUACUCGAUUCUCGUUUAAUGAUGGAUCACCGUCAAUUAUGUCUACUGUUAUUAAAAAACUCGUCCGCUAAAUUAGCAAAGGUUUGGAGAUAGACAGAGUGGCAGAUAAGAUCCAGGAAUUUCCAUAAGGAGCAAUAAACCUCAUUGUCAGAGAAAGAGGCUACAAAGAUGGUAAUAAGAAGAGAUCAGCAGAAGCACUUCCCUGAAAUUUUUGAAUAUUUUGAAUCCAGAAACCGGUUGCUCAAAGAUAUCCCCAAGUUAGUCGGACAGCUCAAUGUUUAUGUGGAUCAGGAAGGCCUGUUAAGGACCCGAUGUUUCUUCAAAUGAAGAUAAAGACAGUCCUAAUUAUGGCUCAAAUGAUUCUAAUCUGGCCAGCAAUCGCAUUCAAGGAAAGCGCAGAGCGGCAAAGAUUAGUGCUCUGAAGACCAGACAAAUUUUACAGAAAAGUUUGUCUGUGUAGGCUUUUUUUUUUUUAUUAUUAUUGGUGAUGGUAAUGUAAAUAGUC